rnacentral:rRNA from 1 species
CAGCCGCCGCGGUAAUACAGAGGGUGCGAGCGUUAAUCGGAUUUACUGGGCGUAAAGCGUGCGUAGGCGGCUUUUUAAGUCGGAUGUGAAAUCCCUGAGCUUAACUUAGGAAUUGCAUUCGAUACUGGGAAGCUAGAGUAUGGGAGAGGAUGGUAGAAUUCAAGGUGUAGCGGUGAAAUGCGUAGAGAUCUGGAGGAAUACCGAUGGCGAAGGCAGCCAUCUGGCCUAAUACUGACGCUGAGGUACGAAAGCAUGGGGAGAAAACAGGAUUAGAUACCCCAGUAGUCCCUGUCUCUUAUAC